GUCGAACGAGAUCUUCGGAUCUAGUGGCGCACGGGUGCGUAACGCGUGGGAAUCUGCCCUUGGGUUCGGAAUAACAUCUGGAAACGGAUGCUAAUACCGGAUGAUGACGUAAGUCCAAAGAUUUAUCGCCCAAGGAUGAGCCCGCGUAGGAUUAGCUAGUUGGUGAGGUAAAGGCUCACCAAGGCUACGAUCCUUAGCUGGUCUGAGAGGAUGAUCAGCCACACUGGGACUGAGACACGGCCCAGACUCCUACGGGAGGCAGCAGUAGGGAAUAUUGGACAAUGGGGGCAACCCUGAUCCAGCAAUGCCGCGUGAGUGAUGAAGGCCUUAGGGUUGUAAAGCUCUUUUACCCGAGAUGAUAAUGACAGUAUCGGGAGAAUAAGCUCCGGCUAACUCCGUGCCAGCAGCCGCGGUAAUACGGAGGGAGCUAGCGUUGUUCGGAAUUACUGGGCGUAAAGCGCACGUAGGCGGUUAUUUAAGUCAGAGGUGAAAGCCCGGGGCUCAACCCCGGAACUGCCUUUGAGACUGGAUAACUUGAAUCCAGGAGAGGUGAGUGGAAUUCCGAGUGUAGAGGUGAAAUUCGUAGAUAUUCGGAAGAACACCAGUGGC
rnacentral:rRNA from 1 species